AUUGAACGCUGGCGGCAGGCUUAACACAUGCAAGUCGAGCGGGGUGAUGGUGCUUGCACUAUCACUUAGCGGCGGACGGGUGAGUAAUGCUUAGGAAUCUGCCUAUUAGUGGGGGACAACAUCUCGAAAGGGAUGCUAAUACCGCAUACGUCCUACGGGAGAAAGCAGGGGAUCACUUGUGACCUUGCGCUAAUAGAUGAGCCUAGGUCGGAUUAGCGAGUUGGUGGGGUAAAGGCCUACCAAGGCGACGAUCUGUAGCGGGUCUGAGAGGAUGAUCCGCCACACUGGGACUGAGACACGGCCCAGACUCCUACGGGAGGCAGCAGUGGGGAAUAUUGGACAAUGGGGGGAACCCUGAUCCAGCCAUGCCGCGUGUGUGGAGAAGGCCUUAUGGUUGUAAAGCACUUUAAGCGAGGAGGAGGCUCUUUUGGUUAAUACCCAAGAUGAGUGGACGUUACUCGCAGAAUAAGCACCGGCUAACUCUGUGCCAGCCGCCGCAGUAA
rnacentral:rRNA from 1 species